GGAGACGAACGGAGUUCACUUCCGGUAACCCUGCCGCCGUUGCCGAUUCAGACGAACAUAAUAAACCUAAGCCAAUAAAUAUUCGAUCUUCGAGCUUCAUAGGUUCCUUCCGUUUCAUCGAAUUGCUUUCAGCAUCACAACACACUUCUUCCACCACCGGAACUACUUCCAGCGAAAUCGAAACGGCGUUAAUUAAGGGCAAAAUCUGGUACGAAGCAAUCAUUAGAAGAUGCUGGUGGCAAAAUUGCACAUUCUGCAAUGAGCUUGCCUUAAAAUAAGAGAUAAAUACAAAGCAUCAACAAACAAACAGAGUACAGCAAAACAACGAACACUCAACUAGUUUUCUACAAACGAAUUUGCAAGUUAUACUCCAAUAAUUCCAAGCCAACGUGCAAAUUGUGGUUGGAACUGUGAAAAGGUAAGAGUUAGCUCAUAUUAUACCGUUUUUCUUCUAAUUAGUGUAAAGUUCACGAUCUGUUCUUAUGGUUUUGUCAAAGCUACAAAUUUUAUUCUCCCAUUUUAAAACAUACAGAAAUACUCCCUUGUUUUCGAAACCUGUAACAUCAGUGGUCAUUUUAUUUAUACUAGUGUGAUUAAUCCCGCACGUUGUGGCAGGUGGGAACUCGAUUGGUUU